rnacentral:rRNA from 1 species
GGAAUAUUGGUCAAUGGGCGAGAGCCUGAACCAGCCAUGCCGCGUGCAGGAAGACGGCCUUCUGGGUUGUAAACUGCUUUUAUCAGGGAAGAAAAGGGCUAUGCGUAGCAAAUUGACUGUACCUGAGGAAUAAGCACCGGCUAACUACGUGCCAGCAGCCGCGGUAAUACGUAGGGUGCGAGCGUUGUCCGGAUUUAUUGGGUUUAAAGGGUGCGUAGGCGGCCUGAUAAGUCAGUGGUGAAAUCCUGCAGCUCAACUGUAGAUGUGCCAUUGAUACUGUUAGGCUUGAGUACAGGCGAGGUAGGCGGAAUUUAUGGUGUAGCGGUGAAAUGCAUAGAUACCAUAAAGAACACCGAUAGUGAAGACAGCUUACUAGGCUGUAACUGACGCUGAGGCACGAAAGCGUGGGGAUCGAAC